GGAUGCGAUCAUACCAGCACUAACGCACCGGAUCCCAUCAGAACUCCGAAGUUAAGCGUGCUUGGGCGAGUGUAGUACUAGGAUGGGUGACCCCCUGUGAUGUCCUCGUGUUGCAUCCC
rnacentral:rRNA from 1 species